rnacentral:rRNA from 1 species
UGUGAUGCCCUUAGAUGUUCUGGGCCGCACGCGCGCUACACUGACGGAGCCAGCGAGUCUAACCUUGGCCGAGAGGUCUUGGUAAUCUUGUGAAACUCCGUCGUGCUGGGGAUAGAGCAUUGUAAUUAUUGCUCUUCAACGAGGAAUUCCUAGUAAGCGCAAGUCAUCAGCUUGCGUUGAUUACGUCCCUGCCCUUUGUACACA